UUUCAAAAUCAUUUGCGUAACGUAAAUAUGGCGGACGUGACGUCAUCAGCCGCCUUCAUCCGGGGACCGAGACCCUGGACCUUCCCUCCUCCCAGUGCCCUUCCAUCAGUAUUUAGUGUUAUUUCCUAUAUUUUCCAGCUGUUUUCAUGCAUAGAGAAGAAUAGAAAGAGGAGUGAAUUCUUCGUUUCUGUGGCGUUUUAAAAAGAGCAACGGCAACCCUCCGAUCCGGCAAGCAGGUUGGCGGCAGCGAUGGCGGUGGCGGCAGCAGCGGUGGUGAGGUGGACGGCAGGGACGGAGGGGCGGUACAGGCUGCGGACAUCAAGGAGAAAAAGAACGUGCGGAGAAGCAAGGUGGCAUUCAGCAGUGUGAUCCUGGACCUGGUCGGCUUGACGGUGGUGGUGCCUCUGUCUCCUGCUCUCUUUGACUGUUACUCCAAGCACGACUCCAGCGGCUUGUAUUCCUCUGUGCUCUCCUGUGUGACUUGUUACCAGCAUAUCAUCGGCGUCCCUGCGAGGUUCCACUCUGUCUUGUUUGGUGGUAUGUGGGGCCUAAUGAUGAUGAUUCCUGCUUUCAUCCUCAUCGGGGCUAACGAGACCAACCUGGGGCUGUACUCUGGACUGACGCUGUAUGCCAUAGUGCCUUGAGGUGCCAAUCAUUUCUGAAGUUUAUGAAAGCAGAAACGGCUCUCCAGAAUAUGAUUUUUACCCUAGAUCUUCCCUUCAGCGUUCAGCUUAUUCCUGCAGUGACAGGUGCAGCUUUUUAAACCCUGGGAGAAGCUACUGCAUUGAUCCCAGAGGCAGCCCACGCCCUCACAUUCACGUCCUGCACGCCCACGCCCACGCUGACCACCAAGGGGACGCGGAGCACGAGCUGAGUGACUUUGAAAAGGAGAAUUUGUUGUUCGCUUUCCCUCAGCCCUCCGUCAGCUGCUUCAGGAGUUCUGUGCAUCUCCCAGGCAGGAUUCCAGACUGCUGUACACUGAAUAGAUUGCUGAGAUACCAAGACUGGCACAGACUCCCUGGUUAUCUCUGGCAUGCCCUCAUCCAGUUGAUGUGCGAACACCACUGCAGGGAACUCUGUCGGUGUGUCUGUUCCUUUCUUUAUCAUUUCCAGUGUUCCUGCUCUUGUCAAUGCUGUUCCUGACACUGACAGUUCCUGCACUGACACUGUUUAGUUGGGUUAGGUUUGGUUACAUACAUUCCAUUCAUUACCAUCAUCAUUAUUCUCUCAUUUCUCAUUCAUUUAUCAUAAUUUUUCCAUCCACUUGUCACCAUCCUUCCAUUUCUCAUUAAUUUAUCACUUGUUAUCACCAUCCUUUCAUCUCUCAUUUACUAAUAAUUUUUAUUCCCAUGGCCUUGUUGACUGGAUGCUCUCUCUCUCUCUCUCUCUCUCUCUCUCUCUCUCUCUCUCUCUCUCUCUCUCUCUCUCUCUCUCUCUCUCUCUCUCUCUCUCUCUCUCUCUCUCUCUCUCUCUCUCUCUCUCUCUCUCUCUCUCUCAUGGCAUCAAGUAAGCAUUACAUUACAUGUUGCCGAGUUCUUUGGGCAUUGUGAAUGAAGUGACCUACAGUGGUUUUUUAUUUAUUUAUUUAUUUUCUCUCUCUCUCUCUCUCUCUCUCUCUCUCUCUCUCUCUCUCUCUCUCUCUCUCUCUCUCUCUCUCUCUCUCUCUCUCUCUCUCUCUCUCUCUCUCUCUCUCUCUCUCUUCAAAACAAACAGGAGGUGAAUGAGUGUGAGAGAUUUUCAGGAAAAGUGAAUUUAAGUCCCUGUUUUGAUACAAAGAACAAAAAUCCCUUGUACCCAUGAUGAACUGUGCAUUAUCAUAACACCUAUCAUGUUCUAAAUCAAUUUCCCUCCCAUCUCUAAUAAUCUCUUGAUGACAAAUUAUCAGCAUUGUCAAUCUUCUCCAGAGGCUUUUGUAGUGUCAACCGCAGUAUACUUCUGCAAAAACUGCAUCAUUAUGGCACAUUCCUGGUUCAAAGGCUGUUUGACUGAUACAACCCAGUGCACAGUCCAUCAUGGAUACCUUUUAACAAAACCUACUUUUAUUUCAUGUUUUCAAGUAGCAUAAUUAUGUACUGCUUAAUAAAUGAACACCUGAA